GGGAGAUUGGACAAGUAUGCUGCAAGUGAGAACGUAUUUAACAGACAAAUGGUGGCCCGGAGUUUGCUGGAUACCUUGAGGGAAGUCUGCGAUGAUGAAAGAGAUUGUAUCGCUGUUUUGGAAAGAAUUAGCAGAUUGGCCGAUGAUUCAGAACCAACUGUGAGAGCGGAGCUGAUGGAACAGGUGCCUCACAUCGCACUGUUUUGUCAAGAAAACCGGCCUUCAAUACCAUACGCUUUUUCAAAAUUCUUACUACCUAUUGUGGUUAGAUAUCUUGCAGAUCAGAAUAAUCAGGUGAGGAAAACAAGUCAGGCAGCUUUGCUUGCUCUUUUGGAGCAGGAGCUCAUUGAACGAUUUGAUGUGGAGACCAAAGUGUGCCCUGUCCUCAUAGAGCUGACCGCCCCAGAUAGCAAUGAUGAUGUGAAAACAGAAGCUGUGGCUAUAAUGUGCAAAAUGGCUCCCAUGGUUGGGAAGGAUAUUACAGAGCGUCUUAUCCUCCCUAGGUUUUGUGAGAUGUGCUGCGAUUGCAGAAUGUUUCACGUUCGAAAGGUCUGUGCUGCCAAUUUUGGAGAUAUUUGCAGUGUAGUUGGCCAGCAAGCUACUGAAGAAAUGUUGGUUCGCCAAGCAGCUUUUCAGUCUCUGGGACCUUUCAUAUCUACUUUUGCUAAUCCAUCUAGCUCAGGCCAGUAUUUUAAAGAAGAAAGCAAAAGUUCAGAAGAGAUGUCAGUAGAGAACAAAAAUAG
rnacentral:sRNA from 1 species